GUGCACCAGUCGCGAAUUUUUCACAAUGGGGGAAACCCUGAUGGAGCGACGCCGCGUGGAGGAUGAAGGCGUUUUCGUCGUAAACUCCUGUCAUGCGAGAACAAGAAAGUGAUAGUAUCGCAAGAGGAAGAGGCGGCUAACUCUGUGCCAGCAGCCGCGGUAAUACAGAGGCCUCAAGCGUUGUUCGGAUUCAUUGGGCGUAAAGGGUGCGUAGGUGGCAUGGUAAGUUGAAGGUGAAAUCUCGGAGCUCAACUCCGAAACUGCCUUCAAUACUGCUGUGCUCGAGGACUGUAGAGGAGAAUGGAAUUCACGGUGUAGCAGUGAAAUGCGUAGAUAUCGUGAGGAAGACCAGUGGCGAAGGCGAUUCUCUGGGCAGUUCCUGACACUGAGGCACGAAGGCUAGGGGAGCAAACGGGAUUAGAUACCCCGGUAGU
rnacentral:rRNA from 1 species